GGUCAGAUUGAACGCUGGCGGCAGGCCUAACACAUGCAAGUCGAACGGUAACAGGAAGAAGCUUGCUUCUUUGCUGACGAGUGGCGGACGGGUGAGUAAUGUCUGGGAAACUGCCUGAUGGAGGGGAUAACUACUGGAAACGGUAGCUAAUACCGCAUAACGUCGCAAGACCAAGAGGGGACCUUCGGGCCUCUUGCCAUCGGAUGUGCCCAGAUGGGAUUAGCUAGUAGGUGGGGCAACGCUCACCUAGGCGACGAUCCCUAGCUGGUCUGGAGAGGAUGACCAGCCACACUGGAACUGGGAGACACGGUCCAGACUCCUACGGGAGGCAGCAGUGGGGAAUAUUGCUAAUGGGCGCAAGCCUGAUGCAGCCAUGCCGCGUGUGAAGAAGGCCUUCGGGUUGNUAAAGUACUUUCAGGGAGGAAGGGAGUAAAGUUAAUACCUUUGCUCAUUGACGUUNCCCGCAGAAGAAGCACCGCUAACUCCGUGCCAGCAGCCGCGGUAAUACGGAGGGGCAAGCGUUAAUCCGGAAUUACUGGGCGUAAAGCACGCAAGCGGUUUGUUGUCAGAUGUGAAAUCCCCAGGCUCAACCUGGGAACCNNCNUGAUACUGCGCCUUGAGUCUCGUAGAGGGGUAAUUCCAGGUGUAGCGGUGAAAUGUAGAGAUCUGGAGGAAUACCGGUGGCGAAGGCGGCCCCUGGACGAAGACUGACGCUCAGGUGCGAAAGCGUGAGCAAACAGGAUUAGAUACCCUGGUAGUCCACGCCGUAAACGAUGUCGACUUGAGGUUGUANCNCUGAGGCGUGGCUUCCGGAGCUAACGCGUUAAGUCGACCGCCUGGGAGUACGGCCGCAGGUUAAACUCAAAUNAAUUGACGGGGCCCGCACAAGCGGUGGAGCAUGUGGUUUAAUUCGAUGCAAGCGAAGAACCUUACCUGGUCUUGACAUCCACAGAACUUUCCAGAGAUGGAUUGGUGCCUUCGGGAACUGUGAGACAGGUGCUGCAUGGCUGUCGUCAGCUCGUGUUGUNAAAUGUUGGGUUAAGUCCACGAGCGCAACCCUUAUCUUUUGUUGCCAGCGGUCCGGCCGGGAACUCAGGGGCUGCCAGUGAUAAACUGGAGGAAGGUGGGGAUGACGCAAGUCAUCACGGCCCUUACGACCAGGGNCNACGUGCUACAAUGGCGCAUANAAGAGAAGCGACCUCGCGAGAGCAAGCGGACCUCAUAAAGUGCGUCGUAGUCCGAUUGAAGUCUGCAACUCGACUCCAUGAAGUCGGAACGGCNUAGUAAUCGUGGAUCAGAAUGCCACGGUGAAUACGUUCCCGGGCCUUGUACACACCGCCCGUCACACCAUGGAGUGGGUUGCAAAAGAAGUAGGUAGCUUAACCUUCGGGAGGGCGCUUACCACUUUGUGAUUCAUGACUGGGGUGAAGUCGUAACAAGGUAACCGUAGGGAACCUGCGGUUG
rnacentral:rRNA from 1 species